rnacentral:lncRNA from 10 species
GUAGGGAUGGAUAGCUGAGAAUAAAUUAAUUUAUAACUCAUACAUUUGCUAUAUCCUUUCCAUCAAAUAACAGAAGAGUUAAAGAAUUUCUUUAAAAAAUCACCAUUGAGCAAUCAUUUGAAAAUAUAAAAAGACCUUUUCACAUAAUGAACUACUCUACCAGCUAUAGUCUUUUGCUUGGGAUCUUAUCUUGCAUGUAAUCAUGCCCCAAGAAGACUAUUUUAGUCAUAUCUUUGAACAAAUUCUUGCAAGGCCCAAAUUCUAUUAAAUUUUCUAUAGUUCUUAUAUGCAUCUCAAAUUUCCCAUUCCUCUAGGCUUUUCUAAUGUGUUAUUGCCCUGGCCAAGGACACCUGCAAAGGAUCAUUCCUAAUAUCUUUUCGUGUCCUUUAUCUUUGUAAACUCCUAUUCAUGCAUCAGAACUUGACUUAAAGAUCACUUUUUCAGGGUAUAUCUUCCCUGACAUACAAAUUAGGUUAGAUUCACCUGAAAUAUCUUUAUUUAAAAUUCUUCAUUUUAAGAACAUUCAUUUUUAUUUGUUUUAAUUCCUUGCUUAACACCCAUUAUGUGCAGCAAGAAAACAAACACAAUAAUUAGUACAUAAUGAAUACAGUAGAGAUAACUCUAAUAUAAUCUUCCUCUUAUAUUAAUAAAACACUUUCUUACUUUGCUAUGUUUUCCUUAUAUCCAUUUCUACUGGGGAUAUUGUCUAAAAUAGUGAUAGGUGAAAAAGAACGCAAAACUUAAGAUUUAAAAUGUAUACUAAAAAUUCUUUAUUUAAAUGAAUACAUUAUAGUCUUUCUUGUGAUUCACUAGUUAUAUUUACUUCCUUUUGCUAUUUCAGAGGUGUUGCUGUUACUUAAGAAAGCAGCACCACAGAGUUAAUGUGUUUUUAAUUUAGCCAGCUUUCUUUCUGAGUGCUUUUUAAGUUUGGUUGAUAAACCAAUCUAGUUUCUUCACAGGUACUGCCAUACUGUAAGAUAGUACUUCGUGAGGAGUAGCUUUACAUUAUUUUUUUCCUUGAUGCCUCACUGAUGAUUCCAAAUAAAGUUUACUGGGUAAUUUGGAGAAUAUGGGGCAGUUUAACCACACAGAAUGUCAUACAGGCUGCUGCUGAGUCUUUUGCUAAUCUAAGCAAGCUCUCUAAAGUUAGAGGCAAACUGUUUACUUAAAACAUUAAAGAAUCAUUUUGCAGUAUUUAAGUAAAAAGGAGUAAGCAGUGGGAAUAGAGAAAAUUGUAUCCGCAGUUCUUAAAAUAAUUUUAUAUCAAAAUCACUGGAUAUGGAAGUCAUGAUCAUUAAAACGUGCACACCUGCUUAUAUUUGAUUGUAACCUUAUAUUUGAUUAUAACCAUCUAUAUUCUCCACAUACACCUAAUUCACCUGCACUAAAGUUUUGCUUUGAUGACUGUACAUUCAAAUUUCUGCAGAUGUUCUUAGAGCAUAUAUUUAUGAAAAUAACAUCCUAAACAAUCAUUUAAAAUUUACUUGAGUGCAAUAACUGUAUGUAGGCAAAUAUAUUCAUUUCUUUACAAAUAAGCAUUUAUUUUGUUUAUUCAAUUAGAUCUUUUACAAAGGGAGUCUAGUCUAUAAAAUGUUAACACUGACUUAAUAUUCACAAAAAGUAUAUUAAUAUUUCUAUAUUAACUAUGAAAGAUAAAUUACAUUAUGUAUUGAAUACUAAUAUCAUUUCACUUAUUUUUGACAAACAAGCGUAUGACUUCUAUGUAAGAGUUCAUUAUUCAUAUAUGAAUAAUGCAUUAUAUUUAUAUGAUAUACUAUAAGAUUCUUUGAUAUUCACACUAUUUUGUUGGGUUGUUCUAGAAAUACUGAACAUUAGUAGAAGUGCUACUAGCCCUAUAUGGCAAGUAAGGAAUCCGAGGCUCAGAUCAGUUAGAUAAUUUAUCAGAAGUCAAGUAGCUAGUAAACAAUUAGGUCAUAGAUUAACUCUGGGCUUUCUGUUUUAGUGGCCUGUACUCUCUCUCCACUGAAAAAUAUUUUUAUUCAAUAAAUGAUGCUAAAACAAAUGGACAUUACAUUCAAAAAAAUGACUUGAGACAUAAGCCAUAUACCCUUCACAAAAUUAAUAAAAAAUGGAUAACAGACCUAAAUAUAAAGUGCAAAACUAUAAAACUCCUAGAAUAUAACAUAGGUAAAAACUUAAAUGACCUUGGGUAUGGUGAUGACUUUUUAGAUACAAUACCAAAGGGAAUAAUCUAUGAAAGAAAGAAUAGAGAUGUUGGACUUCACUAAAAUUAAAACUCCUGCUCUGCAAAUAAUUCUGCCAAGAAAAUGAAAUGACGAACCACAGACUGACAGAAAAUAUUUGCAAAAGCCAUAUAUAAUAAAAGGCCAUUAUCCAAAAUGUUCAAUGAAGUCUUAAACCUCAACAAUAAAAAGCAAAAAACCUGAGUUAAAAAAAAAAUAGUAUUUGGCCUGAACACACACCUCAUCAAAAAGGAUACACAGAUGACAAAGAGCAUAUGAAAAGAUGCUCCACAAUAUAUGUCUUUUGGAAACUGCAAAAUUAAAACAACAAUCAGAUACCCUGCAAGCCUAUUAGAUGGUCAAAAAUUCACAACACUGACAACACUAAAUGCUGGCAAGGAUGUGGAGCAAUGGGAGCUCUCUUUCAUUGGUGGUGGGAAUGCAAAAUUGUACAGCAUUUUGGAAGAGAGUUUGGCAAUUUUUGGCACACACAGCAAGGAACUGAAGAAGUCUUCUGGCCCACAGGUCAUCAGCAACUGAGGCCUCAGUACAGCCAGCAAGGAAGUGAAUCUUGUUAACAGUCAUGUGAAUCAGAGGUGAAGAAAAGAAGUCUUCCAGGAAAGAUACUUAUGUACAGCUAAGUCAUAUGGAAAUAGUACCCUUUGGUUCUCUCUCUUCCCUUUUUUUACUUAUCUGAAAUGAAAAUAUGAGGACUGAACUUCGACUCUAUCUUGGGUGACAAGAAGAACUGAAGUAGGAAGGAAUCCUAUGCUAAGGAUGAGAGAGAAAUAAGACAGCCCACACUCCACUCCCUUCCCCCAACACCAAAUGUGAGGAACAAUGCUUUAAAUGACCAUGGACUUCUUAUCAGACAUUUAUGACAGCCAGAAGACCAUGGAACAGCAUCUCAAAAGUACUAAAGGAGAGCCACAAAACCAGAAUUCUAUAUCUAGCAAAAAUAUAUUUCAGAAAUGAAGACAAAAUAAGAAAAUUAUCAGGUGAAGGUAAACCAGAAAUAUUUACUGUUGACAUAUCUAAAAGAAAUGUUAAAAGAAGUUUUUUAGGCUAGAGGGAAAUAACUAACACCAGGGGGAAAUAUGAACCUUCAGGAAUAAAGAAAGAACAACAUAAAUGGUAAAUAUCUAGAUAAACAUAAAAGAUAAUUUUUCUACUUUUAGUUUUUAAAAAAUAUGUAUAACUCUUGAAAGAAAACAUUCUUAUCUGGUGGAGUUUUCAAUGUACAUGAAUGUAAUAUAUAUGACAACUAUAACAUAGAAGCCACUAGGGGAUAGUAAAAUGAUGUAUGGGACUAUAAGUAUUUUACAUCUUACUUGAAAUAUUAAGUUAUUAACUCAAGAAAGUGUGAUAAUUUAGGCACAUAUAUUGCAAUCCCUAGGAAAAAAUACAAAAAUAUAAAAAGGUUACAGAUAGGAAGCCCACAAAUUAAACAGUAUACUAAAUACUUACAAAAAAAGGAGAAAAUGAGAAGUAGAGGCACAAAGUAAGAAUAUGCACUAUAUAGAAUAUACUAUUUGAAGUACUAGCCCAUAAGUUCUAGCCCAUAAAAUUAAGUCCGUGAUGUGAGAAAAUUUUGGCUUAAGAGAAAAUGGAGUAAGCCACAGAGUAGAAGAUUCAGUGCAGAUGAGUGAACCCUUAAAAUGAUGUAGAAGAGAGAAGCUGAAUUGGGUAGACAGUAAAUUACAAUGAACAAAUAGAAUACUGCCUUUGUUUACUAUCAUUCAAAGUAUUAUAUGUUACAUAGUAUUACUUGAAAAUGCUAUGAACCAUGGAAGUGGAUUUUUCCAAAUCAUAGAAUUCACUAAUCUAACAAUUAUGGCAUUUAUAAAUACUAUUGAUAAUAUUAGUAAACAUUUUUAAUACAGUUUUUAUCAUAUAAACAUUUUGGUACAUGUUAUUUCUUUUAAGUGCCAAUAGUUUUUGUAUUUUAACUGCAUAUGGCAAAGUAUUUUCCUAAAAUAUUAGAACAUUUAUCAAUGGUGCAUACUUUACCUCUUCGUAAAGUUAAGUUAAUGCUCUAAUUUUUAAAAAUGUUCCCAUUAGGGCACCAAUUGUAGGAUGGAGUGGAAUAAAAUGAUAAUCUCAGAAACUUUUGCCUCUAUACUUUGUCUCCUUCCUAUGUGUCUGCCUCCAGCGACUGUAGGCCAUUUGAAGAUUACUAUUGCUGCUAUUCUGGUUACCUAGAAAAUGAGACAGAUUAUAAGGCCUAUGAAAAGACUUAACUUUGUUUAUGUAGAAUUUUCAUUAAAUUUGCUAAAGGGAAGUGCCUAAGGAGGUUUCCUGUCUUUAGCAAAUAUAUUUAUUGGUGACCAGAUCCUUUUUUGCCUUACCUUCACAGUUAUUUCUCUAACAUCUGAGGUUUUGGUAGUCUGAUUUUUAGCUAAGUAUGAUAUUUAAUUCAAUUAAAAGUCUAUAUUCAUUAAAGAAGGCUUACAUUAAGAAGAAUGAAGUUCUAAUUUAUUUUCAUCCAUCUAUAUAUAUUAUUGUUGUGUUAUAUAACUAAAAUCUUACUAUUAUAGAUUUUUUUUCUUCUAGCUUAAAAGUUCCAAGUGUUCUAUCUUAGUAAUAUGAUUUAUUCUGGAGGAGAGGGAUGUUGUAACAAAUACUUUCCAGUACAAACUAAGAUAUUUGCAUUUUCAAGUUUUGUAUUAGAAGCAGUUUUGAGUCUUAGUAGUCUUAUAAAAUUAUGAUUAAGUGACCAACAAGUAUAAAUUUUGAGUCACAGAUAUUUAAUUACAGUCGAGUUAAAAGAAGAAAGAAAAUGAAAUAAUUGGAAAAAGAUCUUUCACAGGAAGAAUGUCUUAUUGUUAGUACGGAAGAGAAAUAAAAUGAGAAAGAGAGGAAGGGAGGAAGAAGCUAGAUAUUUAUUUAUUUACGUAUUUAUUUAUUUAGAGAUGGAGUCUCGCUCUGUUACCCAGGAUGGAGUGCAAUGGUGCAAUCUCAGCUCACUGCAUCCUCCGCCUCCCAGGUUGAAGCAAUUCUCCUGCCUCAGCUUCCCAAAUACCUGGGAUUACAAGCAUACGCCUCCACGUCCGGCUAAUUUUUUGUGUUUUUAGAAGAGGCAGGGUUUCAUCAUGUUGGCCAGGCUAGUCACGAACUCCUGACCUCAAGUGAUCUGCCUGCCUCAGCCUCCCAAAGUGCUGGGCUUACAGGCAUGAGCCACUGCACCGGGCCUGAUUUCUUUUUUGUGUGUGUGAAAGUAGGAAUGGAGAGCAAUCACCAAGAAAUCCGAAAUGACAUCCAGACAGCAAGUAAUGCCAACUCUGACAAACCACUGCUGUGAUCAGAGUUUGCACCUCUUUAAGAUUUCAGAUGUUGAUUCUUUCUUCAUGCAUAUUCCCAUUAGAACAUUUAUCACUGAUACAUAUUUCCUAAUAGCUAAAAGUUUACUCAUUACCAGAGAUUGAUGGAGAAAACAAUGUUACAAUUAAGAAAAGAUCUUGGACCUGUCAUAAGAAAAGAGACACCAUUUGGAAUAAGAAGACCAAGAAUAUGCCAUUUACUGCCUUCAAGAGCCUUGAGAAACUGCAUAAAGCAGUCUUAGGAGGAUGAAUUCAAAUAAUGGCAAUAUUGCAUAAUAAUGUUAUUUUUAAAAGAUUAAAAGAAAUUCUGCCUACUGCAUCAUUUAUUAUUAAACUGUAUAUUAAGACUUUCUAAAUUUGCUUCCCUAAGAUAGAGUGAUAUUCAAUCAUUUUUGCUUUAAUGAAUAAAGUCCAUCUUUAAUAAGUAAUUGCAAGUGGGAGAGAAUCGGGCCUUUUUAGGUCAAAUAUACUUGAGACAUGAGGGUUCACAAAAUCUGACUAUGGAGAAUUUGCAUGAUAGGGUUCACUGUGCAACAGAAAGCAGAAGUUUCUAUCAAUGGAUAAAAUGAAAAGCAAGAUUGUGUCACAGAUUUUUUGUUUCUUUGCUGCUAUAUAAUGCCAUACUCCCCUCUGACCCUCUUCCAAAGUAUCCCCAGGGUAGACUAUACUAACGAGAUCCUUUUUCAGCAAAAGAAAGUCAGGCACUAUUCACAAUAGCAAAGACUUGGAACCAACACAAAUGUCCAAAAAUGAUAGACUGGAUUAAGAAAAUGUGGCACAUAUACACCAUGGAAUACUAUGCAGCCAUAAAAAAUGAUGAGUUCAUGUCCUUUGUAGGGACAUGGAUGAAGCUGGAAACUAUCAUUCUCAGCAAAUUAUCGCAAGGACAAAAAACCAAACACCGCAUUUUCUCACUCAUAGGUGAGAAUUGAACAAUGAGAACACAUGGACACAGGAAGGGGAACAUCACACACCGGGCCUGCUGUGGGGUGGGGGGAGGGGGGAGGGAUAGCAUUAGGAGAUAUAACUAAUGCUAAAUGAUGAGUUAAUGGGUGCAGCACACCAGCAUGGCACAUGUAUACAUAUGUAACAAACCUGCACAUUGUGCACAUGUAUCCUAAAACUUAGAGUAUAAUAAUAAUAAUAAAAGAAAGGAACAGAAAUGUUUAAACCUCCCCCUUGACUAGAAGUAAUUAAGUAACUAAAUUACAAAUACACACACUUACAUCUGGGGAGGUUAAACUGAUUUUAUGAAUUGUAUAAAUGACAAGGAUUCAUACUCUGGCUUUUCAGGUUUUCUUUUUUUUUUAUAAGAAAGCCCAUCAUUUAACAGUAAAUAGAGGUUUUCUAGUGUGUCAAAUGGGGAUAUGGUCAGAUUAAUGGCGAAUUCAAUGCUAUGCAUGUUUUUACCCUAUCUCUUUUUAUUUUUGCAAGAUGUGGACACCUUUUAAAUGCAUUAGUUUCUUCCUGCAUUGUACAAAGCAAAUAAAUAGGUUCUUUAAAUUCCAACCAGUCAAUAAUUGAAAUAUAUGCACAAAAAGUAUAUGUAUAAAAACACAUGUAAACUGAUCAAGUGUCCUAAAAACACAUUUAAAAUAAAAAUACAAAGUUAGAAGUUUAGCACUUAACUGAAUAUAUGUUAAUAUGCAUUAUAAAAAUAGUAAACUCAUAUAACAGAGAUAGUAUAGCUUGAAAAUUAAGGACUAAAGUCAGAAUGCUCUUUUUCAGCUCCCCAAUACUCCUAUUUAUUUGCAAUGUAACUUUUGAUAAACUUCUCAAACUCUUUAAAACUUAGGUUCCUCAACUGCAAAAUGGAAGGAAACUAAUCACUAACUCAAACAUUUGUUUUAGUGAUUAAAUAAAAUAUAGUAAAAAGUUUUUAGUAGAAUACUCAGGAUAUAAAAUUCUAUAAAUAAUUACCAAAUAGAAUUUGGUUGCGAAAUGGUCACAAAGAUAAUUGCAGAGAAUACUGGAAAAAUAAUUGACAAAAAUUUAUAUAUUAUUUAAAAGAUUGAAGUUUACAAUGCAUGCAGAAAAAUGCAUAAAGUCAUUAUAAAAUUGAGGUGUUAAUGUGAUUUUUACUACACAAGUUGGAAUAACUGCAUAAUUUCAAAUAUAAUAAAUUGUUAGUCAUCAAUUUGAAAAGAUUUUAUGAAAAAAGCCAUGAUUUUAUGACACAGAAUCUAUAUGUUGUAUAGAAAGCAUGAAUUAUAUUUCAUUUUAGUUAUGGUCUCUCUUUUCUUGAUAUAAUUAACAUUUAAAAUAUGUUUUCAAGGGUAUAUUGUUCAAUGUCACUAUAAAUAAUUUAUGUUAAUAGAAAAGCAGAAAUUAAAAAUGUGAUAGCCAAUAUUUUGGGUACAGCAACUUUCAUGACAAUCAUUUCUUUUGAAUAUAUCUGCUAUAAAUACAAAUUGAUACAAAGUAAGCAUGAUAAACUGUCAUGAAUUUUAAACUAUUUAAUUAUCAUCAUUAUAAUUGCCAUGAAUUAUUGUACACUCACCAUUUACCGAGAAUUUCUGUGUUAUUUUUUACUUUGUGUGUUUUUUAUUGUGUAUAUUUAAGGUGUACAACAUGAUGUUUUGAUAUGCAAGUAGAUAAUGAAAUGAUUACUAUAGGUAAACACAUUCACACAUCCAUCACCUUCCAUAGUAAUGUCUCAUUGUACAUGUGUGCACGUGUGUCUGUGUGUUAACAGUACCUAAAAUCUACAUUUUAUCAAAUUUUCAGUAUAAAAUACAAUAUGAUGCAAUAUUCUUUAUACAUUACGUAAAAAUGUAGACCAAGGGUAGAUUCACAAAUUAUGCAUCUGACAAAGGUUUAAUAUCUAGAAUCUAUAAGGAGCUUAAACAAUUGAACAAGCAAAAUACAAAUAACCCCAUUAAAAAUGGGCACUUCUCAAAAGACACUUCUGAAAAGAAGACAUACAAGUGGCCAAGAAACAUAUGAAACAAUGCUCCACAUCACUAAUCAUCAGAGAAAUGCAAAUCAAAACCACAAUGAAAUACCAUCCCAUUUUCUGUUACUAUUAGAAAAUAAAAAAUAACAGAUGCUGGUGAGGCUUUGGAUAAAAGGGAAAGCUUAUAUACUGUUGUUGGGAAUAUAAAUUAGUUCAGUCCCUGUGGAAGGCAGUUUGGAGAUUUCUCAAAGAACUUAAAACAGAACUACCAUUUCACCCAGCCAUCCCACUCCUGGGUUUAUAUACCCAAAGGAAAAAAAAAAUUUAUCAAAAAGACACAUGUAUUUGUAUGUUAAUUGCAGAGCUAUUCACAAUAAUAAAGACAUGGAAUCAACCAAGGUGCCCAUCAAUGGUGGAUUGGAUAAAGAAAAUAUGGUACAUAUAUACCAUGGAAUAAUACACAGCCAUAAAAAGGAAAAAAAUUAUGUCAUUUGCAGCAACAUGGAUGGAACUGGAGGACACUGUCCUAAGCAAAUUAAUGCAGGAACAAGAAAGAAAUAUAGCAUGUUCUCACAUGUAAGUGGGAGUUAAGCCUUGGGGACUGAUGAAUAUAAAGAUGUUAGCAGUAUAGACUGGGGGAUACUACACAGGGAAAUGAUGAAGCGGGGCAUGGACUGAAAAACUACCUAUUGGGUACUAUGCUGACCAUCUGGGUGAUGGAACCAUCCAUAUCACAAACCUCAGCAUCAUGCAAUAUACUCAUGCAGCAACCCUGAAAAUUUAACCCCUGAAUCCAAAAUGAAAAAUAAAUAUAUAUAUAUUUGUACUUAUUAUAAGUGAAAAUAUACUUAAUAUUUUCAGAUCAUUUAUUGGUUGUAUUUAUAAGUAAAAUUGACUUUUGUACAUUGAAAAAAAAGAAAAUGUGGUCUAUAUACAACAUGGUAUACUAUGCAGCCAUUAAAAAAACCUUGUUAUUUGCAGUGACAUGAAUGAAAUUAGAGGCCAUUAUCAUAAGAUAAUUAAAGCACAAAUAGAAAACCAAAUACCACAUAUUCUCACUUAUAAGUGGGAGCUAAAUAUUGAGUUCUCAUGGGCAUAAAGAGGACCAUAGUAGAAACUGGGGACUACUAGAGGAGGAAGAGAGAAAGGGGGAACAAGUGUUGAAAAGCUACCUACUGGGUGAUAAGAUCAUUGGUACCCAAGCCUCAGCAUCAUGCAAUACACCCAGGUAACAAACGUGCACAUGUACCCGCUGAAGCUGAAAUAAAAGUUGAAAGAAAAACGCAGAUAAAAAAAUGUCCUUUUUCUCUUUAUAUAUAUAUAUUUUUAUUAUACUUUGAGUUCUAGGGUACAUGUGCACAACGUGCAGGUUUGUUACAUAUGUAUACAUGUGCCAUGUCGGUGUGCUGCACCCAUUAACUCGUCAUUUACAUUAGGUAUAUCUCCUAAUGCUAUCCUUCCCCUCUCCCCACACCCCACAACAGGCCCCGGUGUGUGAUGUUCCCCUUCCUGCGUCCAAGUGUUAUCAUUGUUCAAUUCCCACCUAUGAGUCAGAACAUGCGGUGUUUGGUUUUUUGUCCUUGCAAUAGUUUGCUGAGGAUGAUGGUUUCCAGCUUCAUCCAUGUCCCUUAAAGCAGAUUAAUGUAUAAAACAGUCUUCGAACUAACUUGGACUUACAAAUUUGCACAUUUUCUUUUAAGAGCAUUUCAUAUUUUCUACUUUACUUCCGAAUUUUCAAGCUGAGAAAUUUUGUUUAUAAUUUUAUUUUCUGUGGAUUUUAUAAGGCACUACAAGAUCACUGUAGAUUAAAAAUUAAAUAGUAAACAGUCCCUAACUUCAAGUUGUUCAUAAUUUAUCACAGGCACUGAGGUGGAUGCCUAAAUGGCAUACUCAUAUACAGGAGAGAGGUCAGAGGCCAGUCUAGCAACUGAAUUUUGUGGAUUUGUCAGUAAGAAUUAGAAAAGUAGUUGUGAUGUUCAUGACAAUAGGGUGAAAGAAAGAUGUAAAAGAUGUCAUGUGAAGACUGAAAAGUAUUUUCCUUUUUGAGUUAGACACAAUAGUAUGUAGUCUUUUUCAGUCUGUUUUAAAGCCCUUAGGCAUGAACAGUAAUGUAUUCAGGAUCUGUGGAACAGGUAACAUAGUGAACUGCCAGAGCGAGGAGAACCAAGAAGUGGAAAAGAGCAGUGAACUAAGUAAAUCCUUAGAUCUAUGUCAUCUCAAAUUGGCAAAUUUGCUGAUAUUGUGAUUGACUUAAGUAUCAAUAAUAUCAACAAAAAUAUUGGUAGUUCAUCUAAAUUUUAAAAUUCAGGUUUUUCUGUUGUUUUCUUUAAAUAUCUAAGUCAGUUCCCCACUUACUGCCCAUGGCAAUUCAAAUUCCCUGAUUAACACUGGAGCUUUUUGCAAGAUUUGAAAAUCUUUCUCAAGAUCAUAGUUUAUUCAACCUUUGUUUUGAAUUUUUCAAGUAAUUCAAACCUCACAACCAUAUUAUGCUAUUAUUAAUAACCAUUUUAAAGAAACUGAGGAAGGGAUAUUGAAAUAGCUUCUCAGAUCUAUCCAACUAUUAAUAUUAAGUAAUGUGAAAAAGAAUAAAACCCAGAAUGUCUAAAUUAUUUAAUAUCUAUUUUUAAAAUAAAGUCCUGAGUUAUUCCAGAAUAAAUUAUUUAACCUAGUCCUAAGAUUAAAAUUUUUGUUUUGAAAUCUCACAUAUUUGAAGGACACGUGACUUUUUUACACCACAUUGUCUGAAUUAAUUAGCAAAGGUAUUGCAAGCAAACCAACAGCAUAAUAGUGAACACUUCCUCAUAUCUUAAAAAAUCAAAUUCUAUAGACUUUCUAAACUAUGAAAAAUUUACAUUUGUCAUUCAACAAACUUAUUCUGUGUCAGUACCUGUUUCAUCCAUUUAGAUGCAACAGUGUAUGAAAACAGACAAAGAUUUCUGUUCUUAAAAGUUUACAAAGAGGAGAGCCUGCCAAUAUAAAAAUGAAUAUAUAAAUUUUGAAGUAUGCAAGAAAUUAAUCAAUACUAUAAAGAAAUAGUAGAGCAAGGAAAGCAUUUUUAAUACUAUCUAGAAUUUUCAAAUCUUCUUAUGGUUUAAAGUAUAGUCAUGAUACUCUCUUGGGUAAAGUGAGUAGGGCUGGUAGGUGCCUGCAUGUAUGCAUGUGUGUGUGUGAAUAACUGUGUAUUGCUAUUUAGAAGAGUUAGGGUGGUCAAACUCUAAAAAGAUUCACAUUGAAAUAGUCAUCUUCUAAAAGGUCACAUGAUAUGUUACCUUAGCUAUUUUUUUUAUACUUGAAAUACCUUGGGCAGUAACAACUCUUCCCAAAUUUGAUUUAAAUGAUAAAAAGAAAGAUCAGUGAAUGACUAUAGUUAUAAAAAAUGUCUAUAACAACUGUCAGCAAUCUCCAGCAAUUUAUGGUACUCUUUGUAAGCGAAAUGACUUUAUUAUAGAGCAAGAGUGGAGCCUUUUCACUUUCAAAGUUACCUACAUCUAGCUGCAAUUGUUGGUAGGAUUAAGCCUCAUCAAAAAUAAAAUUGGGAGUAAGGAAAAAUCCUAGAAAUCAAAGUUGCAAAAAAGACUAGAAUAGAAAACUGAUCACACUUUGGAAGUUACUCUGACUAAACACUGAAAAACAAAAUGCCUUUUUAAUACUUAUUAUUAUCAUUAACUUUGGAAAGAGAAAGGAUCCUAAGUUAAUUUAACCGUUAGUCAAUUUUACAUGAAUACAUAAUACCCUAAAUAAAUAUCUUGUUCAUUAGGUAAGCAUAUAGUUUUAUGAUAAAAUUUAAAAUCUAUGCUUCUAUUAUGAUUCAAAUUUACACAAAUUUAUUUGGAAGACACAGUCAUAUUAUUUUUAUUUUCUAUAAAAGUUUUGGAAAAAAAUACACUAAAGAAAUACUGCAUUGUAAAAACCACUCUUGCCAUUAGAGAACAUGUAAGUGUUCUUUCAUGUAUAAGUAAUAAAGAAUCAACAUUUGCUGCUUUUGGAAACAAAAUGAAACAAGAGAGGAAAUAUGUCUAGCUUUUAGGGCAAUUUGGUAAUAUUUGAGAAACACAGCCUGACAACUCAAAGGGUAUUUUUUAAUGUUUAUGUAAAUGUAUACAUAUGCAUACAUGUGUACAUAUAAGUAUAUAUAUCCAACAUAUAAACAUGUAUGUAUGUAUACAUAUAUAGAUAUGUACACAUAUACAUAUGUAUGUAUACAUAUAUAGAUAUGUACACAUAUACGUAUGUAUACAUAUAUAGAUAUGUACACAAAUACAUAUGUAUGUAUACAUAUAUAGAUAUGUACACAUAUACAUAUGUAUGUAUACAUAUAUAGAUAUGUA